CAGGGCUGAUUUCAAGCCCUUCAGGGCAGGAGUGGGUGACCACCCCGCUGCAGUCUAGAAAAGACUUUAUUCACAGACAUGGGAAGAGAGAUGGCAAGGGUCUGGUGAUUCAGAAUAAUGGCUAAGAAAAAGUGAGUGAGCUGGUCGUAAAUCCCAGAACACAUCAUUACCCCAUGCAACUCAUUGCCACUGGAUAGCACGGAGGCCAAGCAGUCAGUAAGAUUUGAGAAGGGAUUCUCCAUCUAUACACGUAAUGGGAACAGCCACUGUUAUAUGGGCUAUAAACCUUUGUGCUUCAGGGUAUAAGCCAACCUCUCACUGAAGGUGUUAAAAAGAAACUGUGUAGGGCAGGUUAUUCUGUAAUAGACCAAUGUGAGGUUUCUUGUAUCUUACUCUGAAACAGCUGGUA